UACGUAGGGUGCGAGCGUUGUCCGGAAUUAUUGGGCGUAAAGGGCUCGUAGGCGGCGUGUCGCGUCGGAUGUGAAAGCCCGGGGCUCAACUCCGGGUUGGCAUUCGAUACGGGCAGGCUGGAGUCCGGCAGGGGAGACUGGAAUUCCUGGUGUAGCGGUGAAAUGCGCAGAUAUCAGGAGGAACACCGGUGGCGAAGGCGGGUCUCUGGGCCGGUACUGACGCUGAGGAGCGAAAGCGUGGGGAGCGAACAGG
rnacentral:rRNA from 1 species